rnacentral:misc_RNA from 1 species
ACAACCAUCUCGAAUCCCCCCUUUUCAGUUCUCGAGGGUUUUGGUGGGGGGGGGGAAUCGGUUCUGGUGGAGGAGGGAAAUCGAGUUGUUGCCGUGCCCCCCGCCCCCCGGGGGCGCGCGGUGCAAUCUCCCCUCCCCACCGAAAUUCAUAGGCGGUCUGUGUUGUUUUUAAUAACCCACAUGUUUUAAUGGCGUUGUAAAAGGAGGCCUCGGAGUCACCGAGGAGUCACUUUUCGCCUGUAACAAUUUGGGACCAUGGACUAGCCUUCUAAAAAAAUAAGUUUUUUAUUUAUUAAAUCAAA